rnacentral:tRNA from 1 species
GGUGGCUCAGUGGUAGAGCGCUUGCCUUGAAUGCAUGAAGCCCUGGGUUCGAUUCCCCAGCACCU